UUGCUUUUGGUUCAGUGGUGGAAACGCCACGCGGGCGCCCCGGGUUCGAUUCCCGGCCAAUGCAAU